rnacentral:rRNA from 2 species
GACGAACGCUGGCGGCGUGCUUAACACAUGCAAGUUGAACGGAGGCUUUGUUUUCGGACGAAGCCUUAGUAGCGGACGGGUGAGUAACGCGUGAGCAACCUGCCUUUGUGAGGGGGAUAACAGCUGGAAACGGCUGCUAAUACCGCAUGAGACCACGACCCCGCAUGGGGACGAGGUAAAAGAGGAAACUCGCACAGAGAUGGGCUCGCGUCCCAUUAGCUAGUUGGUGAGGUAACGGCUCACCAAGGCGACGAUGGGUAGCCGACCUGAGAGGGUGAUCGGCCACACUGGAACUGAGACACGGUCCAGACUCCUACGGGAGGCAGCAGUGGGGAAUAUUGGGCAAUGGGCGAAAGCCUGACCCAGCAACGCCGCGUGAGGGAAGAAGGUCUUCGGAUUGUAAACCUCUGUCCUUGGGGACGAAGGACGUGACGGUACCCAAGGAGGAAGCUCCGGCUAACUACGUG